UACGAGGACGAACGCUGGCGGCGUGCUUAACACAUGCAAGUCGAACGGUAAGGCCCUUCGGGGUACACGAGUGGCGAACGGGUGAGUAACACGUGGGUGAUCUGCCCUGCACUUCGGGAUAAGCCUGGGAAACUGGGUCUAAUACCGGAUAGGACCAUGGACUUCACGGUUUGUGGUGGAAAGCUUUUGCGGUGUGGGAUGGGCCCGCGGCCUAUCAGCUUGUUGGUGGGGUAAUGGCCUACCAAGGCGACGACGGGUAGCCGGCCUGAGAGGGUGUCCGGCCACACUGGGACUGAGAUACGGCCCAGACUCCUACGGGAGGCAGCAGUGGGGAAUAUUGCACAAUGGGCGCAAGCCUGAUGCAGCGACGCCGCGUGAGGGAUGACGGCCUUCGGGUUGUAAACCUCUUUCAAUAGGGACGAAGCGCAAGUGACGGUACCUAUAGAAGAAGCACCGGCCAACUACGUG
rnacentral:rRNA from 1 species